rnacentral:rRNA from 1 species
UACCAGCACCCCGAGUGGUCGGGACGUUUAUUGGGCCUAAAGCAUCCGUAGCCGGUUCUACAAGUCUUCCGUUAAAUCCAGCUGCUUAACAGAUGGGCUGCGGAAGAUACUAUGGAGCUAGGAGGCGGGAGAGGCAAGCGGUACUCGAUGGGUAGGGGUAGAAUCCGUUGAUCCAUUGAAGACCACCAGUGGCGAAGGCGGCUUGCCAGAACGCGCUCGACGGUGAGGGAUGAAAGCUGGGGGAGCAAACCGG